CAUAAUAAUCCUACUCUCUCAAAAAUAUUUUGAUCACCCAAAAGGGCCAAAAGCCAAAGUACCCGGACAACAACAGAGCAUAAAAACGCCAAAAAUCUAAAAACCUAGUUUAGUAAUAGAUCUUCAGGACAAAAACGCAAAGCCCACAGAGUCAUUUUUGGGAAAAGCAGAUACCAUAAAAGAAUUGCCUUUCAAUCAAAAUCCGAAGAAAUUAAUUCAGCUUGUGAAAGGCUUUAGUUUGUGGAGAAGAAAAACUGAACCCAGAAGAUCAAAUUAAGCAUAGGGGCUAUAUCAUUAGAAAAAAAUGAUAGAAACUGGAGUAAAAAGAGCACCAAAUGAACAGACCUCGGUAGACUUUGUUGAGAUGUGAAGCCCUAGUUUGUUCCUCCAUGAGUCGGAGAUUGAAAGGUGUGAAAUGGAAGACUUUGCUUUGCCUUGGCUUUAGAAUUCACACAACCCAUAUUCCAUAAGAAUACAAAGCUCUCUUCUUUAAUAUUAUUUAUUCAUUUAUUUUCCCCUUUUCUUCUCAAGAGAAG
rnacentral:misc_RNA from 1 species